rnacentral:rRNA from 1 species
UACGUAGGGUGCAAGCGUUAAUCGGAAUUACUGGGCGUAAAGCGUGCGCAGGCGGUUUUGUAAGUCUGAUGUGAAAUCCCCGGGCUCAACCUGGGAAUUGCAUUGGAGACUGCAAGGCUAGAAUCUGGCAGAGGGGGGUAGAAUUCCACGUGUAGCAGUGAAAUGCGUAGAGAUGUGGAGGAACACCGAUGGCGAAGGCAGCCCCCUGGGUCAAAAUUGACGCUCAUGCACGAAAGCGUGGGGAGCAAACAGG